rnacentral:tRNA from 1 species
CUUUGAUAGAGUAAAAUAUAAGGGUUAAAGCCCCUUCAACUCCU